AGUCGAACGAUUCUGAUUUAUCAGUUUAGUGGCAAACGGGUGAGUAACACGUAAGUAACCUGCCUCUAAGUAGGGGAUAACUCCGGGAAACCGGAGCUAAUACCGUAUGUGAUAGUAGAGAUAAUGCACUACUAUUAAAGCCUUCGGGCGCUUAGAGAGGGGCUUGCGUCCGAUUAGCUAGUUGGUGGGGUAAUGGUUCACCAAGGCUGUGAUCGGUAGCUGGUCUGAGAGGACGGUCAGCCACACUGGGACUAGAGACACGGCCCAGACUCCUACGGGAGGCAGCAGCGAGGAAUUUUAGUCAAUGGGCGAAAGCCUGAACUAGCGACGCCGCGUGGUGGUGAUGAAGGUUUUCGGAUUGUAAACCCCUUNUUAUCAGUGGAGGAAUAAUGACAGUACCUGAUGAAUAAGCCAUUGGCUAACUACGUGCCAGCAGACGCGGUGAUA
rnacentral:rRNA from 1 species